UACGUAGGCAGCGAGCGUUGUUCGGAAUUACUGGGCGUAAAGCGUGCGCAGGCGGUUCGUUGUGUCGGCGGUGAAAGCCCCGGGCUUAACCUGGGAAUGGCCGUUGAAACUGGCGAACUGGAGUGUGGCAGAGGGGGGUGGAAUUCCGCGUGUAGCAGUGAAAUGCGUAGAGAUGCGGAGGAACACCGAUGGCGAAGGCAGCCCCCUGGGCUGAGAUUGACGCUCAGGCACGAAAGCGUGGGGAGCAAACAGG
rnacentral:rRNA from 1 species